CAGUAGCCGCGGGAAUACGGAGGGUGCAAGCGUUAAUCGGAAUUACUGGGCGUAAAGCGCACGCAGGCGGUUUGUUAAGUCAGAUGUGAAAUCCCCGGGCUCAACCUGGGAACUGCAUUUGAAACUGUCAGGCUGGAGUCUUGUAGAGGGGGGUGGAAUUCCAGGUGUAGCGGUGAAAUGCGUAGAGAUCUGGAGGAAUACCGGUGGCGAAGGCGGCCCCCUGGACAAAGACUGACGCUCAGGUGCGAAAGCGUGGGGAGCAAACAGGAUUAGAUACCCGCGUAGUCCCUGUCUCUUAUAC
rnacentral:rRNA from 1 species